rnacentral:lncRNA from 1 species
UAAAUAUAUGGUUUUCCAUCUUAGUUUAUUUUUUAGUCUUGGUUUUUAGACCAUGAAGAACACAUAUAUAAAAUUUUAUCCACAAAUGAUUUUUUAUCUGUAAAUAUACCAUUUGGCUUUUCCGUAAAAUACCGUCAAAAACAAAUGUCCCAUAUUGUUUAAUGGUAACUAUGAUAUCAGUAUGAGAGAGAUCAUGAGACAUGAUGGAAUAAAUUAUGGCGGCACUCCAACAUUUUGCUUAGAUAAUGGAUAUCAAUCUGGCUUCUGCAUCCAGAUGCAUCCUUCAUUUGGUUUUGAAAACUUAGGGUUGGUCAUCACUUUCAUGUUUGCAUCUUUUCCUAAUGCAUCCUAAUCCUAGUC